GACGAACGCUGGCGGCGUGCUUAACACAUGCAAGUCGAACGGAAAGACCCUGCUUUUGUGGGGUGCUCGAGUGGCGAACGGGUGAGUAACACGUGAGUAACCUGCCCUUGACUUUGGGAUAACUUCAGGAAACUGGGGCUAAUACCGGAUAGGAGCUCCUGCUGCACGGGGGUGGUUGGAAAGUUUCGGCGGUUGGGGAUGGACUCGCGGCUUAUGAGCUUGUUGGUGGGGUAGGGGCUGACCAAGGGUUUGACGGGUAGCCGGCCUGGGAGGGUGGCCGGGCACAUGGCGACUGCGAUACGGCCCAGACGCGUACGGGCGGCAGCAGUCGAGAAUAUUGCACAACGGCCGGGCGCCUGAUGCAGCAACCCCGCGUGCGGGAUGCCGGCCUUCGGGUUGUAAACCGCUUUCGCAUGUGCCGAAGCGUGCGUGACGGUAAUGGGUCAAGAAGCACCGGCUAACUACGUG
rnacentral:rRNA from 1 species